rnacentral:rRNA from 1 species
UACGUAGGGGGCGAGCGUUGUCCGGAUUUAUUGGGCGUAAAGAGCGUGUAGGCGGCCAGGUAGGUCCGUUGUGAAAACUCGAGGCUCAACCUCGAGACGUCGGCGGAAACCCUCUGGCUAGAGUCCGGAAGAGGAGAGUGGAAUUCCUGGUGUAGCGGUGAAAUGCGCAGAUAUCGGGAGGAACACCAGCGGCGAAGGCGGCACUCUGGGCUGGAACUGACGCUGAGGAGCGAAAGCGUGGGUAGCAAACAGG